GGGUCGGUGCCCGAGUGGUUAAAGGGGGCGGAUUGUAAAUCCGCUGGUUAUUCCUACGUUGGUUCAAAUCCAACCCGGCCUA
rnacentral:tRNA from 1 species